UACGUAGGGUGCAAGCGUUAUCCGGAAUUAUUGGGCGUAAAGAGCUCGUAGGCGGUUUGUCGCGUCUGCUGUGAAAACUGGGGGCUCAACCCCCAGCCUGCAGUGGGUACGGGCAGACUAGAGUGCGGUAGGGGAGAUUGGAAUUCCGGGUGUAGCGGUGGAAUGCGCAGAUAUCAGGAGGAACACCGAUGGCGAAGGCAGAUCUCUGGGCCGUAACUGACGCUGAGGAGCGAAAGCAUGGGGAGCGAACAGG
rnacentral:rRNA from 1 species